GCCAAGAUUAUCCUCAGUGGUCUGGGGUGCAGGCUUCAAACCCGUAGGUAUUUAUUGAGCAUUCACUCUUUUUUGCU